rnacentral:lncRNA from 1 species
GAAACAGACUGAGGAAACUGUAUUUCUGCUCUGUGGUAAUAGAUGGGUUACUUCUUAGGACAUAUCUGACUGUCUGACUAAAGGCCAACACAUAGAGAAACUGUGAGCAGAAAGUUCUAGGGAAAGAGACCCUCCCCCCAACUGAUCUGUCAUUUUGUUGAGCUGUGUGGGAAGGAUCUCAAAAGUUCAUUGGUUCUUCUCAUGAAUGGCGAAGUAGAAGAAGGAAGUGGAGGAAGAUGGGAGGAAGAGGAGGAAGACAGAAGGAAGAGGAGGAAGACAGGAGGAAGAAGAGGAGACAGAAGGAAGAGGAGGAAGACAGGAGGAAGAGGAGGAAGACAGAAGGAAGAGGAGGAAGACAGGAGGAAGAGGAAGAAGACAGAAGGAAGAAGAGGAAGACAGAAGGAAGAGGAGGAAGACAGAAGGAAGAGGAGGAAGACAGGAGGAAGUCAGGAGGAAGACAGGAGGAAGAGGAGGAAGACAGGAGGAAGAGGAGGAAGACAGAAGGAAGAGGAGGAAGACAGGAGGAAGAGGAAGAAGACAGAAGGAAGAAGAGGAAGACAGAAGGAAGAGGAGGAAGACAGGAGGAAGAGGAGGAAGACAGGAGGAAGAGGAAGAAGACAGAAGGAAGAGGAGGAAGACAGAAGGAGAGGAGGAAGACAGAAGGAAGAGGAGGAAGACAGGAGGAAGACAGGA